UGGGGAAUAUUGCACAAUGGGCGCAAGCCUGAUGCAGCCAUGCCGCGUGUAUGAAGAAGGCCUUCGGGUUGUAAAGUACUUUCAGCGGGGAGGAAGGCGAUAAGGUUAAUAACCUUGUCGAUUGACGUUACCCGCAGAAGAAGCACCGGCUAACUCCGUGCCAGCAGCCGCGGUAAUACGGAGGGUGCAAGCGUUAAUCGGAAUUACUGGGCGUAAAGCGCAUGCAGGCGGUCUGUCAAGUCGGAUGUGAAAUCCCCGGGCUCAACCUGGGAACUGCAUUCGAAACUGGCAGGCUAGAGUCUUGUAGAGGGGGGUAGAAUUCCAGGUGUAGCGGUGAAAUGCGUAGAGAUCUGGAGGAAUACCGGUGGCGAAGGCGGCCCCCUGGACAAAGACUGACGCUCAGGUGCGAAAGCGUGGGGAGCAAACA
rnacentral:rRNA from 1 species